rnacentral:rRNA from 8 species
AGUCAUAUGCUUGUCUCAAAGAUUAAGCCAUGCAUGUCUCAGUACAAGCCUAAUUAAGGUGAAACCGCGAAAGGCUCAUUAAAUCAGUUAUGGUUCCUUAGAUCGUACCCACAUUUACUUGGAUAACUGUGGUAAUUCUAGAGCUAAUACAUGCAAACAGAGCUCCGACCGGAGACGGGAGGAGUGCUUUUAUUAGAUCAAAACCAAUCGGCGGCGGGCGCGUUCGCGCGUCCGUUCGCCGCUCAAACUGGUGACUCUGAAUAACUUUCCGCUGAUCGCACGGUCUCGCACCGGCGACGCAUCUUUCAAAUGUCUGCCUUAUCAACUGUCGAUGGUAGGUUCUGCGCCUACCAUGGUCGUAACGGGUAACGGGGAAUCAGGGUUCGAUUCCGGAGAGGGAGCCUGAGAAACGGCUACCACAUCCAAGGAAGGCAGCAGGCGCGCAAAUUACCCACUCCCGGCACGGGGAGGUAGUGACGAAAAAUAACGAUACGGGACUCAUCCGAGGCCCCGUAAUCGGAAUGAGUACACUUUAAAUCCUUUAACGAGGAUCAAUUGGAGGGCAAGUCUGGUGCCAGCAGCCGCGGUAACUCCAGCUCCAAUAGCGUAU